CCUGCCAGUUGUCAUAUGCUUGUCUAAAAGAUUAAGCCAUGCAAGUGUAAGUAUAAAUAGACAAAUUAUUGUACUAUGAGACUGCGAAUGGCUCAUUAAAUCAGCAAUCAUUUUAUUCGGUGGAUGAAGUAAUUCUAAAAUGGAUAACCGUGGGAAAUCUAGAGCUAAUACAUGCAAAAGAGAAUUCUUUGAAAAAGGAAUGCAUAUAUUAGAUACAAAUCCAAAAAUACAAAGGUGAAUCAUAAUAUUUAUAGCAAAUCAUAUAAGAAGGAGUGAUCUUUUCUUUGAUGAUAAACCGAUCAAAUUUCUGCCCUAUCAUACUUUGGACGGUAAUGUAGUGGAUUACGGUGUGAUGACGGGUAACGGAGAAUUAGGGGUUUUGAUUCCGGAGAGGGAGCAUGAGAAAUGGCU
rnacentral:rRNA from 1 species